GACGAACGCUGGCGGCGUGCUUAACACAUGCAAGUCGAACGGAAAGGCCCUGCUUUUGUGGGUGCUCGAGUGGCGAACGGGUGAGUAACACGUGAGUAACCUGCCCUUGACGUUGGGAUAACUUCAGGAAACUGGGGCUAAUACCGGAUAGGAGCUCCUGCUGCAUGGUGGGGGUUGGAAAGUGUCGGCGGUUGGGGAUGGACUCGCGGCUUAUCAGCUUGUUGGUGGGGUAGUGGCGUACCAAGGCCUUGACGGGGAGGCGGCCUGAGAGGGUGACCGGCCACAUUGGGACUGAGAUACGGCCCAGACUCCUACGGGAGGCAGCAGUGGGGAAUAUUGCACAAUGGGCGGAAGCCUGAUGCAGCAACGCCGCGUGCGGUAUGACGGCCUUCGGGUUGUAAACCGCUUUCGCCUGUGACGAAGCGUGAGUGACGGUAAUGUGUAAAGAAGCACCGGCUAACUACGUG
rnacentral:rRNA from 1 species